UUUGCAAAUCCUUCUCUCAUCCCCCUCUUUCUCCAAGAAAUUCAGCAAGAAAAAGAAAAGAAGGGACAUAUUUGUGAAGAAGAGAAAAGAGGCCAAUAGGGAACCAACGGAGACCAUUUUGCCUUGGUGGUCUUUUUCUGUCACGCAGGGCGCAUGAGCACGACCUCCUCCGCGCUGCCGUGCGCUCCUCCUCCACCUCUACUUUUCACCUGCUCCUCCUUAUCCCCAAUCAGAGCCCAAGCAAACCCUAGUGCUCUUCCUCCUAGCCCUGCCGCCACCUGCUUUCCCAUCGUCCACAUGAACACAAAAGGAAGAAGAAAAACAAGAGGCUCAGUUGAAAUUCAGAGAAUCAUCAGGACAACACCUGCUCCUCGCCAUGGCGUCAUCGUUCUGGCCAUUCCGAUGCGACUCCAACCUCCCUGAACCCUCCAUGACCCUCCUGGUGCUCAACGCCGGCCAGGCUGCGGUGGUUCCCCCAUCUCAGCGCCACCACCCACUGAUUCACCUCGUCGAGGAGCAUCCAGCGCGCUUUUCCCCACUUCUCGAAUCGCUCUGCAUCAUCGAGCCCAUGCUCGAGUGAGACGGCCUCUGUUUCCCUGAAGCUCUUCGUCCACUCCGUCCGUCAGAUCCAUCAACGUCUCCUUGGUCUGUAUCAAAAACGACGCGCGCCUGCAUUCAUCAAUAUCCAAGCAACAUUACAGUUGCAUUUGCUUCUUCUCGGAUAGGAUCGCGAAGUGGUGAUGUGAGAUACGACGAGUUCUCCGACAAGUUCUUCUACAGCUUUUCACAG